UACGUAGGGGCGCUAGCGUUGUCCGGAAUAUUGGGCGUAAAGAGCUCGUAGGCGGUCUGUCGCGUCGGCUGUGAAAACCCGAGGCUCAACCUCGGGCCUGCAGUCGAUACGGGCAAACUAGAGUACUGCAGGGGAGACUGGGAUUCCUAGUGUAGCGGUGAAAUGCGCAGAUAUCAGGAGGAACACCGGUGGCGAAGGCGGGUCUCUGGGCCGAUACUGACGCUGGAGGAGCGAAAGCGUGGGGAGCGAACAGG
rnacentral:rRNA from 1 species